GUGUCAGCCGCCGCGGUAAAACGUAGGAGGCGAGCGUUAUCCGGAUUUACUGGGUGUAAAGCGCGUGCAGGCGGCGCGAUAAGUUGGAUGUGAAAGCUCCUGGCUCAACUGGGAGAGGUCGUUCAAGACUGUCGUGCUUGAGGAUGGUAGGGGAAGGUGGAAUUCCGGGUGUAGUGGUGAAAUGCGUAGAUAUCCGGAGGAACACCAGUGGCGAAGGCGGCCUUCUGGACCAUUACUGACGCUCAGACGCGAAAGCUAGGGUAGCAAACGGGAUUAGAUACCCUCGUAGUCC
rnacentral:rRNA from 1 species